rnacentral:rRNA from 1 species
AUUGAACGCUGGCGGCAUGCCUAACACAUGUAAGUCGAACGGCAGCACGGUAGCUUGUUCCUGUUGGCGAGUGGCAGACGGGUGCGUAUUACAACGACACAUGUCCUUUCGUGUUGGAGAGGGCGGAGGUAGCCGGAUUAAUACCGCUAACGAUCUCCGGCUGCGGGCGGGGGCCCGGCAGCUUCCGCGCUAGCGCGUUGGCAGAUGCCUGAUUAGCUAGUGGGUGGGGUAAAGGCCUACCAAGGCGACGAUCAGUAGCUGGUCUGAGAGGAAGACCAGCCACACUGGGACUGAGACACGGCCCAGACUCCUACGGGAGGCAGCAGUGGGGAAUUUUGGACAAUGGGCGAAAGCCUGAUCCAGCAAUGCCGCGUGUGUGAAGAAGGCCUUCGGGUUGUAAAGCACUUUUGUCCGGAAAGAAAACCUGGGCUCUAAUACAGGCGGGGGAUGACGGUACCGGAAGAAUAAGCACCGGCUAACUACGUG